rnacentral:rRNA from 1 species
UACGUAGGGGGCUAGCGUUACUCGGAAUUACUGGGCGUAAAGGGCGCGUAGGCGGCGCUGCAAGUUAGGCGUGAAAGUCCUGGGCUCAACCUGGGAACUGCGCUUAAGACUGUGGUGCUUGAGGAUGGAAGAGGCUCGUGGAAUUCCCAGUGUAGAGGUGAAAUUCGUAGAUAUAUGGAGGAACACCAGUGGCGAAAGCGGCUACCUGGCCUGUAACUGACGCUCAUGCACGAAAGCGUGGGGAGCAAAUAGG